AGUGAACGCUGGCGGUAGGCCUAACACAUGCAAGUCGAACGGCAGCACAGUAAGAGCUUGCUCUUACGGGUGGCGAGUGGCGGACGGGUGAGGAAUACAUCGGAAUCUACUUUUUCGUGGGGGAUAACGUAGGGAAACUUGCGCUAAUACCGCAUACGACCUACGGGUGAAAGCAGGGGAUCUUCGGACCUUGCGCGAUUGAAUGAGCCGAUGUCGGAUUAGCUAGUUGGCGGGGUAAAGGCCCACCAAGGCGACGAUCCGUAGCUGGUCUGAGAGGAUGAUCAGACACACUGGAACUGCGACACGGUCCAGACUCCUAAGGGAGGCAGCAGUGGGGAAUAUUGGACAAAGGGCGCAAGCCUGAUCCAGCCCUACCGCGUGGGUGAAGAAGGUCUUCGGGUUGUAAAGUCCUUUUUUUGGGAAAGAAAAGCAGCAGGUUAAUACCCCGCUGUUCUGACGGUACCCAAAGAAUAAGCACCGGCUAACUUCGUG
rnacentral:rRNA from 1 species